AAAAAAGAAGUAAUAACAUAUACUAAUGAUCGAUAUAAGAUUGCCAAUUUAAUAGAAGUGAUAACAGUUACCAAGAAUGUCUCAUUUGAUAUCCUUUUCAAACUUAAAAAUUUAAACAACAGAUAAGAUAGUAAAUAAUCUGUUCUAAAGAAAUGCUCCAGUGUUAGCAGGUAAAAUAUUUUCGAUCAAUAAUUCUUCUAUCAAAUGCCUCAUAUGAUUAAAUAUACUAACAAACAGUAAUAUCCAUUUCAAACUAAUUAGGACCCAAAAUAUAUUCUUCUAAAAUGCCAAUGGAAUUGAUGCACAUAUUCAUGUACGUAGCCAAACCAAAUACCAAAAAAAGAAAAUGGAAAAGAUAUAUAUUGUAUAUGAAAAAAUAAGAUCAAAAUCAAAUGGGAAGAGGCUAAUCAAACCCUUUGAAGUACCACUACCAGGACAAGUACUUUAGUCGACGAAAUAUUUUCGUCGGCCUGUUAUCCUAAUUCGUCGGCUAAGACCUUAGCCGACGAAGGCUCGUCGGCUAUAGUGUCGUCGGGAAAAGGUCGUCGGUGAUGGCUUUAGCCGACGAAUCUAAAGACCAUCGUCGGCUAUUGUCCAGACUUUAGCCGACGAACUAUUUUUCGUCGGCUAUUGUUCCAGACUUUAGCCGACGACGUCCUGUGUCGUCGGCUAUACUCUCAGACUUAAGCCGACGAAGAGAAUAUUCGUCGGCUUUACUGACAAACUUUAGCCGACGAAUAUCUCUGUUUCGUCGGCUAAAGUAUAUAAUUAAAAUAUUUAAAAAUAACUAUAGCCGACGACAUAGAGUCUGUUUCGUCGGCUUUAGUAGUGUUUAGCCGACGAAACAUACCAUAAUUCGUCGGCUAAACCCUUUGGAAAAAAAAAAAUUACUAUAGCCGACGUAUUGUGGCAUGUUUCGUCGGCUAUAACGCCAUUCCAGUAAAAAAAAAAUACACGAAAUUCUUAAAUUACCAUUCCAAGCAAGCUGCAAAAUACACCAAAACAAUUCCAUAUAUAUAACCAACAAGAAGCACAUAAAACUAUAUAAGGUAUCAACUACACAAAAUCUAGAUGGUCUAAAUCAAUAUCCGAAUCUCGGGCCUGCUGGUGAGGAGAUUGCGGCGGCAGAGGUAACUCUAUAGGCGCAGGCAUGGG
rnacentral:lncRNA from 1 species